rnacentral:rRNA from 1 species
AGAAUCAACGCUGGCGGCGUGCCUCAGACAUGCAAGUCGAACGAGAAAGUUCCCUUCGGGGAGCGAGUAAAGUGGCGCACGGGUGAGUAACACGUAGGUAAUCUACCUUCGGGUGGGGAAUAACCCAGGGAAACUUGGGCUAACACCGCAUAAUGCAGCGGCACCACAUGGUGACAGUUGUUAAAGCGGGGGAUUUUCGGACCUCGCGCCUGAAGAGGAGCCUGCGGCGGAUUAGCUAGUUGGUAGGGUAACGGCUUACCAAGGCGACGAUCCGUA